rnacentral:misc_RNA from 1 species
AUGGGUGGAAGGGAUUGAGGUUGUUAUUUUUUAUUUUCUUUGAACAUGAUGUUAUCUAGGUUUAAGCCUGUCAUUGAGAGAGGUAGAGAGUUUCUAUUUGUUUGGCAUGUUAGAGUGGGUGGUAUUUUGGAUGGAUUCAUUUAAUUAGGAGUUCUCUGGUUCAAGUGUUUUGAUUAAUUAACAAUAAGAUGCAGGUCUAGUGGGAAGCAUGAACUUUUAGAUUGUAAGUGAGUUUUGAUGGGAGGGGUAUAAUUUGG